rnacentral:rRNA from 1 species
AUUGAACGCUGUCGGCAGGCCUAACACAUGCAAGUCGAACGAGUGGCGGACGGGUGAGUAAUGUCUGGGAAACUGCCUGCUGUAGGGGGAUAAUUACUGGAAACUGUCACUAAUAACGCAUACCAUCAAAUGUGCCCAGAUGGGAUUAGCUAGUUGGUGGGGUAACGGCUCACCAAAGCGACGAUCCCUAGCUGGUCUGAGAGGAUGACAAGCCACACUGAAACGGAGACACGGUCCAGACUCCUACGGGAGGCAGAAGUGGGGAAUAUUGAACAAGGGGCGCAAGCCUGAUGCAGCCAUGCCGCGUGUAUGAAUAAGGCCUUCGGGUGGUAAAGUACUUUCAGCGGGGAGGCGUUACCCGCAGAAGAAGCACCGGCUAACUCCGUGCCAGCCGCCGCGGUAAUUC